UGGUAGUUGGGACCUUGUCCCUGUGAGAGUAGGACGUCGCCAAGC
rnacentral:rRNA from 1 species